GAGUACGUUCAGGUUUAGCGAGAACUGCUAAUUCCUCGCUCCCAUGGCUCAAUUCCAUGGCUUACUCA
rnacentral:tRNA from 1 species